rnacentral:sRNA from 1 species
GCCAGGCAUGGUGGCGCAUGCCUGUAAUCCCAGCAACUUGGGAGGCUGAGGCAGGAGGAUCACAAGUACAAAGCCAGCAACUUAGCAAGGCCCUAAGCAACUUAGUGAGACCCUGUCUCUA